rnacentral:rRNA from 1 species
AUGUGCUAUGUGGUAUACUUCGCCGCCAAGAAAUUGAAGCCCUACUUCCAAGAGCACCCCAUCACGGUCGUGUGCACCGCCCCGCUCGCCGAGAUCAUAGGCAGCCGGGAUGCAUCCGGCCGGGUGGCUAAAUGGGCCAUUGCACUGGCGCCCUACACGAUCUUCUACCAACCCCGCACCGCCAUCAAGUCCCAAGCGUUGGCCGACUUCCUCGUCGACUGGGCCGAGACCCAGUACCUACCGCCGGCUCCCGACUCUACCCAUUGGCGGAUGCACUUUGACGGGUCCAAGAUGCGCACCGGCUUGGGAGCCGGCAUCGUCCUCACCUCUCCCAAAGGCGACAAGCUCAAGUACACACUGCAGAUCCACUUCGCCGCCUCCAACAACGUGGCCGAGUACGAGGCACUCGUACAUGGGCUCCGGCUAGCCAAAGAACUCGGCAUACGCCGGAUCCUGUGUUACGGCGACUCAGACUUGGUGGUCCAGCAGUCGUCUGGCGACUGGGACGCCAAGGACGCGAACAUGGCGAGCUAUCGAUUCCUCGUCCAGCAGAUCAGCGGGUACUUCGAAGGGUGCGAGUUCCUUCACGUGCCAAGGGCCGACAACGACCAAGCAGAUGCCCUAGCACGGAUCGGCUCCACCCGACAAGCCAUACCGACUGGCGUCUCCCUCCAGCGCCUCCUCAAGCCGUCCAUCAAGCCGUCUCCAGAGUCGGACUCUAUCUUCGUACCGCCUGCACCAGAUGCAGCCGGGUCCGACUGGAGGAACCCCGCAGGCGGCACGGGGACUUCGACAACUGGCCCGGGGACUGCCGUAGUCGCACCCGGCCCGGGAACUUCAGAACCCGGCCCGGGGACUGCAACGACACAAGAAGCGGUGGCCGACUCCAAUUCCACGCCACCCAGCCCACCCACCCGAGUCAUGGUGGCUACACUAACAGAAGAAGAAGUCACAGCUCCAUCAUGGGCCCAGCCCAUUCUCAAGUUCCUAGUCAGCAGAGAGCUGUCGGCUGAUGAGAUCUCAGCAAGACUAGUGCAACGACGAGCCGCAGCAUAUGCAAUAAUCAACAGAGAGCUUGUGAAGCGCAGCGUCACUGGAGUCUUCCAGCGCUGUGUCGAGUCAGAAAAAGGAGUGGCAAUCCUCAAGGAUAUCCACCAAGGCGAAUGCGGCCACCACGCAGCCUCAAGAUCACUUGUGGCCAAGGCUUUCCACCAUGGUUUCUUUUGGCCGACUGCCUUGGAAGAUGCUAAAGAGAUAGUCAAGAGCUGCAGAGGAUGCCAAGUUUUUAGUUCCAAGCAACACCUGCCGACUUCUGCACUCAAGACCAUUCCCCUCACCUGGCCUUUUGCCGUCUGGGGACUGGACAUGGUGGGCCCUUUCAAGACAGCCCGCGGCGGCUUGACGCAUCUACUUGUCGCUGUGGACAAGUUCACAAAGUGGAUCGAAGCAAAGCCGAUCAAGAAGCUAAACGGGCCGACUGCCGUGACAUUCAUCACUGACGUCACUACUCGGUACGGCGUGCCGCACAGCAUCAUCACCGACAACGGCACGAACUUCGCCAAAGGAGCACUGGCACGUUUCUGCGCGACGCAGGGUAUCCGACUGGACUUAGCGUCUGUUGCCCACCCGCAGUCAAACGGCCAGGUCGAGCGAGCAAAUGGACUCAUCCUCUCCGGCAUCAAGCCCCGACUGGUUGUACCACUGGAGCGAUCGGCCGGCUGCUGGCUUGAUGAGCUGCCGGCUGUCCUCUGGAGUCUGCGCACUACACCCAACAAGUCAACCGGCUUUACUCCAUUCUUCCUUGUAUAUGGUGCCGAGGCUGUCAUCCCAACAGACAUCGAGUUCGACUCGCCUCGGAUCACCAUGUACACGGAGGCAGAGGCCAAGGAAGCAAGAGAAGACGGCGUCGACCUACUGGAAGAAGGCCGGCUUUUAGCACUCAGCCGGUCCGCCAUCUACCAGCAAGGGCUGCGCCACUACCACAACCGUAAGGUCAAGCCAAGAUCCUUCCAAGAGGGCGACCUUGUGCUCCGGCUGAUCCAGCAAACAGCCGGCCAGCACAAGCUCUCGGCCCCUUGGGAAGGCCCCUUCGUCAUCAGCAAGGCACUAGGCAACGACUCCUACUACCUGAUCGACGCGCAAAAACCAAGAGCACGCAAGAGAGACGACUCCGGCAAGGAGUCGGAGCGACCAUGGAACGCGAACCUCCUGAGAAGAUUUUACAGUUGA